GCUGCGCCUUCUGAUUGGCUACUAGGUCUACCCUGCGUAAUACUAUUGGCUGAAACGCCUGUUUGUUCCUGUGUCCAGGUCCAGGUUAUAAAGGAGAGCGCAACAAAAACUAACCAGGGAUACGGGAAGAUGUGGGGUCUGUGGUCCCGGUUUUAGGAUCAUCAGAUCAUGUGUCGUGCUUCGCCGGACCUCUCCCUGCUGAUCUGUGCCUUCCUGAGACCAUCACACCCAGCCUCUUCUAGUGACUCUGCAAGCUACGGAAUUAUCAGCUCUUAUAUGAGAGGCCUGCGUGGCACAAGAUUUCUGGAUGACAUUUUCACCUGGGAUAUCAAGACACAUUCCACCCAGGCCACAGAUGGACAAAUGAAGACAGAGACACCAUGACAAAGGCCAGCCACUUUGCUAGCCAAGCUGGAAAGCCUUUUGUCCAGCAGAGGACAGUCGCACGCUCGGCUGGGAGGAGACGACCUGCAGGCGCGCUCGGACGGGCCCCGCGUGCACUCAGCCUCCAGCAGAGGGCGCGGUGAGCUGGCCUCGGGUGGCCCCGCCAGGCCGGGGGCGGCGUUCCCGGGCUUCCCCACGCAGCCUGUGCUCAGCGGCCUGGGGGCUUUGUCGCAGACGCUGGUGCGUGCUAGUGUUGACCUUGCUGCUCGCUUGUCCCGUGAUCAAGCUUUGGAAUCGCAAAUCAGACCACGCCACCAAGUCAUCUCGAGAGCGGAACCGGUGACCAAGGUCACAUGGGUGCCGGGCCCCAUCGCCACGUCCUAGCGCCCCGCGGGUCCCCGCGGCCAGGCUGCUCCACGUCCGCAGGUCGGCGGCGCCACCGUGACUUUCCAGAGGCAGGGUGACCUGGCAGCGCUUGCACCCCACCCUCUGCUGGUUUCGCUUUCCUAAUGUUAAAAGUACCUUCUAACUGAAGGAGGAUGGUAGAACAGGUUUCAGCAUUUUCCUUCAUUUUUUAUGUGCUGGCUUGUUGAAAAUUUCUGUAACCAAGUCCCCUUUCUGCUCCCUUGGGAAGAUGCCCUCUUUGGCAUCUGUCCAAAGUCCGGGUCCUAAUAGCUUUUGACUGUGGUUUAAUUUUAACCAUAAAGCCUUCUUUUGGAAUAAUUGCUUUUUAAUCCGGAAAGGACCAGUUUGAUACAGGGCCAUAACUGGCUCGUGGUCAGUGGGCGGUGCUCAUUUACUGCUAACACGUCUCUUUUUAAAAGGUGAGGGUGAUAGGGGUUUAUGAAGGGACCCGUUUGAGGGGCUGUUUGGACAUUUGCUUUAAUCAAUUUAAUGUGUCCCAUGGGUGUCGUGGAGAGGAAAAGGCAGGAGUGGCUGCCCCAAGCAACUCUGUGGCCAUUUCUUGGGAGAUUUUGCAGGUGACAUUGCUGGCUCUUUGUCAAAUGUCCUACUGCCACCAAUUCUUGUUUCUGAAAACAUGGUCAUCUGAGCUGCCAGCAGCUGUCUUCUCAGGAGCAACCUGACCCAGGCAGUCAGGCAGAGUGGGGUCCUCAGAGUCCCCUACUCUGGUCAGUUGUUGUGAAUCCCCAUCUUCCCUUAUAAUGCAAAUUCUUUGGUAAUACUUGUAUUUGUAAAACCUUAAAUAAGUUUUGGUUUGUCAGGGCAGAAAUUGUCUCCCUUAUUGUAGUGUAGGUGGCAAAACUUAUUUGACAAUGAAAAAAAUUAAAGAUGAGAGGAAAAUAGGAUGUGUGGUGAGGACCAUUUAUAGAAAAAAUAUGUAUCCCAAUCCUCUCUGAGGCAAGCAAUUUUGGAAAGACUUACUCAUUUUAUAGAAGUAGUCUUCACUUGCCUGGCAUACUAUAAUUCUAGCACUCAGGAGGCUGAGGCAGGAGGAUCACCACAAGGUCAAGGCCAGCCUGGGGUACAUAGUGAGUUGAGGGCCAUUUCAAAAUACAUAUAAAGAGCCUGUUGAAAAGAAGGAAAGAGGGCCAGGGAUUUAGCUCAGCAGCAUAAGCUCCUGCCUGGCAAGCAUAAGGUUGUGAGUUUGAUACCUGGUACCAAAAGUAAAAAAAGAAAGAGGCUUUUGUGUGUGUGUGUGUGUGUGUGUGUGUGUGUGUGUGAGAGAGAGAGAGAGAGAGAGAGAGAGAGAGAGAGAGAGAGAGAGAGACAGGGUCUCACUGUGCAGUUCAGGCUGGCCUUGAGCUCACUUCUAUCCCAGGCUGGUCUUGAAUUUGUAAUGAUCCUCUGGCCUCAGCCUCCUGAUUGGUGGGAUUAUAGGCGUGUGCCAGCACGCCCUGCUAGUCUUUACCAUAGAUUCAUGCUUAGGGUUACUUAAAUAAAUACUCUAUGCUCUUCUGGAGCAUUGAGGAGAAGGGAGGAUAGAAAAAUCAAGGAAUAACCAUCAGUUACUAGUGGAAAAUCAAACUUAAAUGAAAAUCAGGUAUCUGAUUUCCCAGUAAGAGAUCAGCCUUUGGGCCUGAAGGUAUAGCUCAGUGACAGAUCAUGUGUUUAGCGAGGACUAGUCCCUAGGGUAGUUAAAACAUGAUGGAAGAGUUGGGGAAAGGGGUCAGGAGGACGAGGAGGUGGAGAUGAGCCUCCCAUUAAAUAAAAUCUGCAGGCUUGUGAGGCGCACACCUGUAACCGCAGCACCCUGGAGACUGAGCCGGGAGGACUGGGAGUUUGCAGCCAGCAUGGCUACAUAGCAACACCCUGUCUCAAAUAAACAAUAAAAUAAAAUCUGUAGAUUCUUUUUUUUUACACUUUUUUUUUUUUUUUACCGGUACCAGGGAUCAAACUCUCCACCACAUGCUUGCAAGGCAGGUGCUUAUGCCGAGCUAAAUCCCCAG
ensembl:lincRNA